rnacentral:other from 1 species
ACGGUUAUAAAUCAACAUAUUGAUUUAUAAGCAUGGAAAUCCCCUGAGUGAAACAACGAAUUGCCGUGUGUAGUCUUUGCCCAUCUCCCACGAUGGGCUUUUUUUUAA